rnacentral:rRNA from 1 species
UGCGUAGGCGGCGCGGUAAGUCGGGUGUGAAAUCUCGGAGCUUAACUUCGAAACUGCAUUCGAUACUGCCGUGCUUGAGGACUGGAGAGGAGACUGGAAUUUACGGUGUAGCGGUGAAAUGCGUAGAUAUCGUAAGGAAGACCAGUGGCGAAGGCGGGUCUCUGGACAGUUCCUGACGCUGAGGCACGAAGGGCCAGGGGAAGGGCAAAACCG